AGAGAGGAAGAUGUCUGUGAAACAGACAGAUGUUCAGAGAGAAAGAAAUAUGGGUCAGAAACUCAGACCUACUUAGAGAAAAGAAGAGCACUCAAGGAGGAAUACAUUAAGAUGCACAAUUGUUCAAUUGUUCCAGCACCAUUUGUUGAAAAGACUGCCCUUUUCCCAUUGAGGUACAGAUCUGUGCUAGGGAUCAAACCAUUCUGAACACCUACGAACUCAACAGG